AGAGUUUGAUCAUGGCUCAGGAUGAACGCUGGCGGUCUGCUUAACACAUGCAAGUCGAACGGACUCUUCGGAGUUAGUGGCGGACGGGUGAGUAACGCGUGAGAAUCUACCUUCAGGACGGAGACAACAGUUGGAAACGACUGCUAACCCCCGAUGAACCGAAAGGGCAAAUAUUUAUAGCCUGAAGAAGAGCUCGCGUCCGAUUAGCUAGUUGGAGAGGUAAAAGCUCACCAAGGCGACGAUCGGUAGCUGGUCUGAGAGGACGAUCAGCCACACUGGGACUGAGACACGGCCCAGACUCCUACGGGAGGCAGCAGUGGGGAAUUUUCCGCAAUGGGCGAAAGCCUGACGGAGCAAGACCGCGUGGGGGGAGAAGGCUCUUGGGUCGUAAACUCCUUUUCUCUGGGAAGAACAAAAUGACGGUACCAGAGAAUCAGCAUCGACCCCGCC
rnacentral:rRNA from 1 species